rfam:Tardiphaga sp. Vaf07 contig_1, whole genome shotgun sequence.
GGCAUGGGGACAAAGCGAUCUCCCCACGAGGCGACAUGCCCAAGUAUCGCGUCCCGCAUUCCUGCAAGGACGCGCCAUG